rnacentral:rRNA from 1 species
CGGGAAGAGCUCAAAUUUGUAAUCUGGCUGCUUUGCAGUCCGAGUUGUAAGCUAGAGAAGUGUUAUCUGCGCUGGACCACGUAUGAGUCUGUUGGAAUAUAGCGUCAAAGAGGGUGAGAACCCCGUUCAUGAUGUGGACUACCAGUGCUUUGUGUUAACCUUUCAAA